ACCCCUCUUCCUCCCCGGGGCCUUCCACCUCCGCGAGUUUUAUGACUUAAAAAAGCCCACAGGCUGGUCUGAAGAGGAAGACAAACAUAAAGAUGAAGUGCUUAAUUCAAGGUCACACAAUGUCGGGGAUGGACCUCCAGAUUUCCUUACUGACCUGCAUUAUCUUGUGGAUACCUGAGUGAAUUCCACACCACCCAUUUUAUAGAUGAAACCACUGAGACAUGGAGCAAUUGACUGAGUAGUCACUGCCCCACCCCUGCCUGGAGCCUCACACAUGACUCGCCUCCUCUCAGUGACCACAGGUUGGUUGAGGGGUUUAACAAGGCUAAGAAGGUGAGACGUGGUCUUGUAACACAGUGGUUAAGAAUGUGACUUUGGAGCCAGCCUGCUAGGGGCUGAAUUCUGACUCAGCCAUUUACUAACUGUGUGACCUUAGGUGGAGUCUCACUCUGUAGCCCAAGCUGGAGUGGCGUGAUCUCGACUCACUGCAACCUCCGCCUCCUGGGAUCAAGUGAUUCUCGUGCCUCAGCCUCCUGAGUAGCCGGGACUACAGGUCACAGAAUUUUCCACACUCCUUGACAGAGGUGCUUAACCCUUAUCCAUCAGCAUUCUCAGACAGCACCUCCGGUUAGGGACAGUAUCUGACCGUCCGACAUCCCUGCAGCCCCCAUGUGUCACACAGACUCAGCCUCAGGUAGAUGGUUUCCGUAGAUGGUGGCUUUCUUUGGACCCUUGACAUCAACCAGUUACUAUUUGCUCCUGCAACCACCGCUGUACUUUCUGUCUCUAUGAACUUGACUACUCUAGACACCUCAUGGGACCAGAUGUGCAGAGGUAAUGAAUACCAGGGAAUCAGGAAACCACUGGAUCAGUUCUUUGAGCCACAGAACAACACUCAUCCCAGCAGCUGGGAAGCUAUCUGCAAAAGUCCAUCUGCAGAAAGGGCUUCCUGGUCUUGCGUGUGGCUGGGCCAUUUCUCUGGAUGCAGGUUUUUCAUUAUACAGUCUUCUCAAAGAACCACCUGCUCUCAACACCUUCUCGGUGACUCCAUUUCCCCUCCUCU
rnacentral:lncRNA from 1 species